ensembl:lncRNA
UUAGGCUACUUCAACGCAAAGCUAAUUAAUUCCCUCGGCUUUUUCGGGGGUGGAAUAACCCGUUCCUAGUCACCUGAACCUGUUUGUUGAGAACGGGUCACCAUGGCUUCCUCUUCAUUCGACACCCGAGGUACCCUCUUUGUCCCUGAGUUUACACCAUAUGGGAGUUGCUGUAGGAACACAAUCCUUGGAGGAUUCCCAGCAGGUGCACAGGGUCCUUCACGUGACACCCAGACCUCUGUGGCUACGCUACACACAAAGAAAGACACUGCUUCAUGGGUUUUUGGUGGACUAGGCACAAGGAAUUUUCCAGUGCGUACUAAAAUAUUUAUAUUGUGACACAUGACAAGGAAACACUUUUUCACAAAACCUCUUCAAACUGACGACGUCUGACAGCGUAAAGGAGAGAGUGGCGUUUUUAAUCAGUUUAAGGAGCACAGAGAAGAAAGUUGUGUGUGAUUCUGCUCCUAAACAGAUGCAUUGCAAGGUGUUGAAAGCGAGGCAUCCCUCCAACUUUGCAUAUACAGCUGCAGUCAUACUGUUUGGAUUCCUAGUGUCAUUCUAUGAAGAUGUUGCCAUGGCGAUGGAGGUGACUUCCUCAGGGCCUCAGACUCUGCAGAAGGCCCAGGGGAUGCUGUAACGCUGGGGUGCACCUACACACGCUGGAUCCCUGGACAUCGGGGACCUGGACAUCGAGUGGUCCAUAAUCAGCCCUGACACCACUCAAAAGAUCAGCCAGU